rnacentral:rRNA from 1 species
CCUACGGGCGGCUGCAGUGGGGAAUAUUGCACAAUGGGCGAAAGCCUGAUGCAGCAACGCCGCGUGAGCGAUGAAGGCCUUCGGGUCGUAAAGCUCUGUCCUCAAGGAAGAUAAUGACGGUACUUGAGGAUGAAGCACCGGCUAACUAGGUGCCGGCAGCGGCGGUAAUACGUAGGGGGCUAGCGUUAUCCGGAAUUACUGGGCGUAAAGGGGGCGUAGGUGGUUUCUUAAGUCAGAGGUGAAAGGCUACGGCUCAACCGUAGUAAUCCUUUGAAACUGGGGAACUUGAGUUCAGUAGAGGAGAGUGGAAUUCGUAGUGUAGCGGUGAAAUGCGUAGAUAUUAGGAGGAACACCAGUUGCGAAGGCGGCUCUCUGGACUGUAACUGACACUGAGGCACGAAAGCGUGGGGAGCAAACAGGAUUAGAUACCCCAGUAGUC